GCAGCUCAGUGGUGGAGCAUCUGCUUUACAUACAGAAGGUCCCAGGUUCAAUCCCCAACAUAUCCG
rnacentral:tRNA from 1 species